AUUGGAGACUGAAAAGAAGAGAAGUUAAGGAACUUGUCUAAGAUCAUCAAGCAAAGAAUUUAAAACUUAAGUUUCAAUAUUUUCUUAGAAAACAAGAAAAGUUAGUGAUCUCAUUAUAGAAAUCUGUUGCCCAGGGAAGAGGAAAUGGUGCCAUUUUUUUUUUCAAGAUUUUCUAUUGGGCAUGAAAAUUGCACUAAUUUUUCAGGAUGUUGGAAGAAAUUACAAAAUCUUGAAAACGGACAGACUUGCAGGGCCGCUUACCAGGAGACAGCUUUUACAAUGAGUGCACUGGCAAGAGGAAGGAAAAAGUCAUUUUGCUGCUUCAUGUGUUGUCUACACGGCGACUGUUACAGUGGCUUCAGCAGAGUCAGUGGUGGUGUCAAGAGUAUCUGGAGCAGAGAGGGCAGCUUAGUUCAUAUGAAGCAGCAAUAGCAACAGAAGAAAAGGCAGUGACAUCACCCUCAGCUUGUUGGGGAAUGUCUGCAACCAUCAGCUCUCCUCUGUUGCUAAGAGUCAGCUCCAGUACAGCAUUGUCUUCUGUUAAAUGAAGCAGCAUGAAUGAACCCAGCUGAAACUGUGGCAGAAACUGCCUUGGAAACUUGCAAAAUCAUGAGAAAUAUAAAUCAUUGUUUUAAGUAACUAAGUUUUUGGGUAUUCAGAUACGCAUCAAAGGACUAAAGGAAGCAAUGAACAACAAAGAGAC
rnacentral:lncRNA from 1 species